rnacentral:rRNA from 2 species
AAAGAAACCAACAGGGAUUGCCUCAGUAACGGCGAGUGAAGCGGCAACAGCUCAAAUUUGAAAUCUGGCCCUAGGCCCGAGUUGUAAUUUGCAGAGGAUGCUUUGGGCGCGGUGCCUUCCGAGUUCCCUGGAACGGGACGCCAUAGAGGGUGAGAGCCCCGUCUGGUCGGACACCAAGCCUAUGUAAAGCUCCUUCGACGAGUCGAGUAGUUUGGGAAUGCUGCUCAAAAUGGGAGGUAUAUGUCUUCUAAAGCUAAAUACCGGCCAGAGACCGAUAGCGCACAAGUAGAGUGAUCGAAAGAUGAAAAGCACUUUGAAAAGAGAGUUAAAUAGCACGUGAAAUUGUUGAAAGGGAAGCGUUUAUGACCAGACUUGGCCCGGUUGAUCAUCCAGCGUUCUCGCUGGUGCACUCUGCCGGUCCAGGCCAGCAUCAGUUCGUCGCGGGGGAUAAAGGUUUCGGGAAUGUGGCUCCUCGGAGUGUUAUAGCCCGUUGCGUAAUACCCUGCGGUGGACUGAGGUCCGCGCUCUGCAAGGAUGCUGGCGUAAUGGUCAUCAACGACCCGUCUUGAAACACGGACCAAGGAGUCGUCUUCGUAUGCGAGUGUUCGGGUGUAAAACCCCUACGCGUAAUGAAAGUGAACGGAGGUGGGAGCUUCGGCGCACCAUCGACCGAUCCUGAUGUUCUCGGAUGGAUUUGAGUAAGAGCAUACGGGGCCGGACCCGAAAGAAGGUGAACUAUGCCUGUAUAGGGUGAAGCCAGAGGAAACUCUGGUGGAGGCUCGCAGCGGUUCUGACGUGCAAAUCGAUCGUCAAAUAUGGGCAUGGGGGCGAAAGACUAAUCGAACCUUCUAGUAGCUGGUUUCCGCCGAAGUUUCCCUCAGGAUAGCAGUGUUGAACUCAGUUUUAUGAGGUAAAGCGAAUGAUUAGGGACCCGGGGGCGCUAUAUUGCCUUCAUCCAUUCUCAAACUUUAAAUAUGUAAGAAGCCCUUGUUGCUUAAUUGAACGUGGGCAUUCGAAUGUAUCAAC